rnacentral:RNase_P_RNA from 1 species
CGAGUGGGCCAGGCGGUCGCGGGCGUAGCUCCUUUGGAGCCCUCGCUCGAGGAAAGUCCGAGCUCCACAGAGCGCGGUGCUGGAUAACAUCCAGGCGGGGCGACCCGACGGCAUAGUGCCACAGAAAACAAUGCGCUAAAGGCAACGGGCCAAGGCCCGUUGCCUCAGUAAGCAUGAAAAGGUGGUGUAAGAGACCACCAGCGGGCCAGGUGACUGGUCCGGCUAGGCAAACCCCACCGGGAGCAAGACCAAAUAGGAGGGUGCGGGGGCCUGGUUCGCCAGGUUCCCAGGGGGCGGCUCGUCCUCUGCCCUCGGGUUGGUUGCUGGAGACGGCGGGUAACCGUCGCCCUAGAUAGAUGAUCGCCGCCCGGGCGCGAGCCCGGGAACAGAACUCGGCUUAUCGGCCCACUCGAACA